rnacentral:rRNA from 1 species
UACGUAGGGGGCAAGCGUUGUCCGGAAUCAUUGGGCGUAAAGAGCGCGUAGGCGGCCCGAUAAGUCCGCUGUGAAAGUCAAGGGCUCAACCCUUGAAUGCCGGUGGAUACUGUCGGGCUAGAGUCCGGAAGAGGCGAGUGGAAUUCCUGGUGUAGCGGUGAAAUGCGCAGAUAUCAGGAGGAACACCUAUGGCGAAGGCAGCUCGCUGGGACGUUACUGACGCUGAGACGCGAAAGCGUGGGGAGCAAACAGG